CACAGGUCCUGUUUUUUGCCGGUGUAUUUUGGAUGUACUGAAUUAACCUACAAUGACUCCAUUAACAUUAUUAUGUCUCUGUGUGGCUCUGCUGUUUGCUGAUUUGGCGUCUUCAGAACAGAAAACCGUCACAGCUAAGUCUGGACAGAAGAAUGUCACUCUGACAUGUGGAGCUCUAAACAAAAACAUCAUAGUUGUAGAGUGGAGCAGAGAAGGCUUGGAGCCAGAAUUUGUCCUUGUUUACCGAGGUGGGCAGUUUGUUCCAGAUGAGCAGCAUCCAUCUUUUAAGAAGCGGGUGGAUCUGCAGGACAAACAGAUGAAGGAUGGAGACGUGUCUUUGAUUCUGAAGGAUGUGACGAUUAAUGAUAAUGGAACAUACAAGUGUCAUGUCAAGAGAGAGGGAGAGAGUAUGAAACUCAUCAGCAUCAUCUAUCUGAGAGUUGAUCCUCCAGCCAGAACACACAAAGGAUGGAGGGAAGAAGGGUAUCCCUGUUGGACAGGAAAUCGGUCUGUAAUUUAUCGGUGGGAUUGUCUCAGAUUUUAUUUUGUGUUCAGUGAAGGUGAAGUUGCUUCCUGGUUGUUGGACUCUACCUGAUUGCUGACACAUCUCCUGUUUCUCCUGCAGGUCACACAAAAUAUGGAUGUAAGGGACAGAUGAUUUUUGUGUAUGGUUCUGGUUUGUUUCUUCUUUUUCUUCUUCUUGUCCUUGUCACUGCUGCUCCUGUUUGUGAUUGGACUUUCAUCUCCAGAAAAUUAAGUCGGGGGUCUCCAGAUAAAACUCACCAGGUUUAAAAACACUAUUUAAAAACUGAUGUUGGUUCAAAAAGAUGAAGAAACAGAUUAGGUGGUCUAAUUCAUGAUGGUUUCACACUACAUAACAUUUUGAUGAUGGAACAACCAGAACAGAGGUCGGCAGCAAAACCAAUGAAGGUUUAAAAAACUCUUAGGACUCUAACACUCAAAAUAUGAAAGCAGAAAUAUGAAUGGAUUUAUUAAAUAUCUUAAAGGUAUUGCACAAAAAAUCAGUUUAUUCUGAGGGGCUCAGCUGAGACUAACUCAAAAUAUAUUUAUCUAUUUGCUGCUGUCCUCAUAUAGAGACGAUACUUUUUAAACUUUCUGCACUUUAUAUAAGUCUUUGGUGAGCAGGUUUUGCCUUUUUUAUGUUAGGCCAUAAAAGCAUUGUCUCCAUAUGAGGACAUGGUUUAAAAAACAAACUUGUGCUUACCAGGUCCAUCUAAAUCCAAAUAAUCAGGAUCAAAUAAUAAUUCAUCCUAAACUAGAGCUCAGGAGGUUAAACUGAGUCAGACCAACUGUGUUGAUGAAGAGAUCAACUUUAAUCCUGCAGAACUACAGUCACAAUGCAGGUUUUCAACAGGAUGAAACCAAAGAGUUUUGUGUGAGUUUUAUAAAUUUGGGAUGUUAAAUGAUGCAAAAUAUGUUUGAGUUUAAAUACUGAAUAAACUCAGUUAAAGCAAGAUUUUGACAGAUGUAUAUAAACUUGGUUAAAAUGAUUUUAUAUAAAGUAGGAGUGUAGGAAGGCUUUAUAACAAAAUUUGUUGAUGGAUUCAUGAUAAGCUGCUGCUGUCUGAGCCACAAUCUGAUUGUUUUAUUUUAAACAAAAACAUGUGAUUUGUAAUAAAGAGAUUUGUUAUCCAGGGGUUCACUUUCUGUGUGAUCUACAGUGCUGUGAAACAGUACAUGUCUCCUAAGCUGAAUAACUGGUUUUGCGAGUGUGUUGGCAGCAACAGCAACAAUCAAGUCAACAAUCAAUGAUCAAUGCUGAUCUUUGGAGGCCUGUUUCACUACACUUUUCUGACCAUGAAGACCAUGAAGACCACUGUGCCACGUGUUCUCCAUAUGUGGAUAACGACUCUCAUCAUACUUCACUGGAGUCCCAAAGUCUCGGAAAUGAAUCUGUGACCUUCCCAGUCUGAUAGAUGUCAGUGACUUUGUUUCUCAGCUCUUCUGUAGAUCGUGGUUUGAUGUGUUGCUUUUGGACGUUUUUCUCCUGCUUCACUUUGUCAGACUCAUUCUACUCCAGUGACUCUUGAUUCAGCAGGUCUGUCAGAUUCGUGUCUAUGUUCACUGUUGGCAUCCAAUAAAGACAAAAUGCCAAAAUAUAAUAUCCAAAAUUAAUGUUUGAUGUUAUGAGAAAAUAAAGUGUGACAAAUAUGCAAGUAAGUAAGAAAUCAGUGAGGAGGCUG
ensembl:lncRNA